GGCUGGUCUGAAGGUAGUGAGUUAUCUCAGUUGAUUGUUCAGUCACUUGCAGAUCAAACUCCUUAUUCUACUCUUUACCCCCUUCUCACUACUACACUUGACUAUUCGAAA
ensembl:misc_RNA Y_RNA Y RNA